GAGUAUUUAAAGUGGGGAGAAGAUUUAGCAACAGCAGUGAUUCUGAAUAAAGUGUCUCCGUUCUUCUUGCAGUUUGUGUGCUGUCUGACUUCAUCAUGCAGCAAAUCUACACACAGAGCCAUGAAGAGUUUGAGGUGUUCACCACUGUUCUCUCGCCUCAAGUUUGUCGGAAGAGAGUGAUAUUCAAGCACCAAGGAGAAAUGGUGGUUGUGACGGCAGACUACAGUGCAGACUGUGAUGAAGAGCUGUGUGUCCGUGCCGGUGAGGUGGUGUUGCUUCUGUAUCAGGAGAAUGCCGACUGGUGUUACGCCCGACUUCAGAACGGAAAGGAAGGAUACCUUCCCACAGCCUGCUUCACUACGAAGCAGGAGCCGUUGAGGCCCAUUGUGGCUCGGGCAUCGCAAAACUUCACGCAAGCGUCGUCUAAUGAUCGGAGUGGCUGUUCUAGAGGGCGCUCUCUGAAACUGCCACGGCGAGCAUCUCUGUCAGGAGUGCCGGGUUCACCUCGAUUACUUCAGCGACUGCUCUCUCGUCGACGUAGUGAUGGACUUGCUGUACGUUCAAUCGGCUCCAUCAAUCCUGCGUUUCAUCCUGACUGAUGGAUCUAACCCUAGAGCUCCACCUUUCUCUUCUUAAUGGGUCACAGAACAGCAGAAACUAGGACAGUAUGACACCAAAGUUCAGUCUGUAUGCAACUCCUUCAGAUUUGGAGAGAAAACAGAAGUUCAGUGUCCUGAUUAGUUUGGGGCCUCAGUAACUUCAUAGCCAGUUUGUGGCUCUGAGCCUGUAGCUGAUAUCAGGAAUCUUUAAUAUUACUGCCCUAUGUAAAUAUGUAAAUAUUGUGAUUUUGAUUGGAAAUAUCACACUCUUCGCCUAUGAGUGUAUUUGAAUUUUGAAUAGAUGUGUCUGUUUUGACUAAUAAUGCAGAAAGACUACAAUGAGAAAUUGUUAGUUUAUAAAUGUGUAUAUAUAUAUAUAUAUAUAUUUAUAGAUAUAUGCAAUGUUUAUAUUAAAAUGCUAGUGUUGCCAAAGUUAAUAUCAACUCAAAAAAAGUACAUCUACUAAAGAGUCUUAUAUAAGUUGAUUACCAGAGAAAAUUAGUUUGAUGUAUUACAAUUUAUAAAAGCACAGAAAAAAAGAGUUUGCUUACAGAAAUCAUUUACAGUGGACGUACUAUAGAAUAUUAUGGAGUGUACAUUUAGAUUUCCAUUUUAAGAGCAACAUUUUUUUUUGUUUAUUUGACCCUGAAUGUUUUUUUUUAAAUUCUGUACAUUAAAUAAAAAUUAUAUAUCAAUGUAAUUUCAACCACACCUCAGACCAUACCACAAAGUAUCUAAACUAAACUAUUAAUAUUGUUAAUUUAUUUUUUCCAAGUUUGUAAUUUUUUAUGGUAUGAAUACUGGUAAAUUAUGGUGUUUACCCUUAAUUUUUGAUGGGCUUUUUAGCUUGUAUUUAGAGGACAUUGGCAUACAGCUGCAAAAUUUCAUGAAAUGAAAAGUCAAUUUUGUAAUUCACAGCCUGACUAUAAUCAUCAUCACUUCAUCAAGCUUAAGGAGAAAAAUCUCAACACUAAUUUGGUAAUGCAGUACAAUUAGUUUCAAUUUGUGAAUGCAUUAUGUUGCAUGAAAUAACAAUGACCAAUUUUCUACAGAAUUUACUGAAGUUAAUAUAAAUACAUGUACUAUUUACUUCACAUUCGUUUGUAAAACAUUAAAGGGGUCAUAGAUGUUGCUAAAAAAGAACAUUAUUUUGUGUAUUUGGUGUAAUGAAAUGUGUUUAUGCGGUUUAAGGUUAAAAAACAUUAUUUUCCACAUACUGUACAUUAUUGUUUCUCCUCUAUGCCCCGCCUUUCUGAAACGCGUCGAUUUUUACAAAGCAAAACCCAUUAUAAACAAGGCAUUCAUUGCAUCCAGUGGGGACAUAAUUAUGGAUUAUAAUGACUUAUACUGUCUUUUUACGCGUUGCGUUGCAUCGCGCCGCGUAAACAUAAAACCAUGUCUGCAUUUGUGAUCGGAGAAAUGACAAACAACAAGUGCUACACUACGCUGCUCAAAACUCACGUUUGAAUCAACGGUGGCAAAUUCUUUAGAUAUAAAAAACUUACUUACAGACUGUGAGUCAGAACAGCUGGCAUUGUAGUCUACUCUACCAGGAUCAGGAAACAGUCCUCCAUAAAAUGUGCAGCACACAUCUGAAUAUUUGGGUUGAAGUGUUCUGGAACAUUGUUGUAAAUACAACUUAACCACUG
rnacentral:lncRNA from 1 species